AACCGGGAUUAGAUACCCUGGUUAGUCACGCCCUUAAACGAUGUCUACUAGUUGUCGGGUUUAAUAACUGGUAAACGCAGCUAACGCGUGAAGUAGACCGCCUGGGGAGUACGGUCGCAAGAUUAAAACUCAAAGGAAUUGACGGGGACCCGCACAAGCGGUGGAUGAUGUGGAUUAAUUCGAUGCAACGCGAAAAACCUUACCUACCCUUGACAUGUACGGAAGCCACGAGAGAUCGAGGUGUGCUCGAAAGAGAGCCGUAACACAGGUGCUGCAUGGCUGUCGUCAGCUCGUGUCGUGAGAUGUUGGGUUAAGUCCCGCAACGAGCGCAACCCUUGUCAUUAGUUGCUACGCAAGAGCACUCUAAUGAGACUGCCGGUGACAAACCGGAGGAAGGUGGGGAUGACGUCAAGUCCUCAUGGCCCUUAUGGGUAGGGCUUCACACGUCAUACAAUGGUACAUACAGAGGGCCGCCAACCCGCGAGGGGGAGCUAAUCCCAGAAAGUGUAUCGUAGUCCGGAUCGCAGUCUGCAACUCGA
rnacentral:rRNA from 1 species